rnacentral:rRNA from 1 species
CCUACGGGUGGCACCAGUGGGGAAUAUUGCACAAUGGGCGCAAGCCUGAUGCAGCCAUGCCGCGUGUGUGAAGAAGGCCUUCGGGUUGUAAAGCACUUUCAGCGGGGAGGAAGGCGAUAAGGUUAAUAACCUUGUCGAUUGACAUUACCCGCAGAAGAAGCACCGGCUAACUCCGUGCCAGCAGCCGCGGUAAUACGGAGGGUGCAAGCGUUAAUCGGGAUUACUGGGCGUAAAGCGCACGCAGGCGGUCUGUCAAGUCGGAUGUGAAAUCCCCGGGCUUAACCUGGGAACUGCAUUCGAAACUGGCAGGCUAGAGUCUUGUAGAGGGGAGUAGAAUUCCAGGUGUAGCGGUGAAAUGCGUAGAGAUCUGGAGGAAUACCGGUGGCGAAGGCGGCCCCCUGGACAAAGACUGACGCUCAGGUGCGAAAGCGUGGGGAGCAAACAGGAUUAGAUACCCGCGUAGUC